rnacentral:lncRNA from 1 species
AGCAAUCCACUUUUUAGGCCUAAUUUUUAGAUUAGCCCAUUAAGCCCCAAUACCCAAUACCCACUAAGCUAACCCUAGAGACCCUUGUAAACACUGAUCUUCCUCUCUUAACCAUACAUACACAAAUACACACACAGAGACAGAAGGACUCCAACCUAACCAAGAAAACCUUAGCCGCCUCCUGCUUGAAAAUGAAACCUCACCCAUUUCUUUCCCUUUGAAAGAAUCGAAAAUCUAUCCUGCUUUUGAUUUGGUUUGAGUUCAAUCUCCAAAUAACACCAAAGACAUUUAAUCUCAUAGAUCUAGUUUUAGCUUUAUUUUAAAACAUAGAUUUUCAUCUUCUGACUCCAAAUUCAUUGUUCCAAAUUCAGAAAUAACACCCAAAACUAUCUUGAGUUCUCUUUGAUUCAGAUUUAUUGCAAGAAGAAAGAUGAAUUUGUGAUGAGAUGCUUUGUUCGAGUCGAGGUUUCUUUUGGGGUCAAAGCCGAGGUGCAUGACAAGAUUCUUGGGUUGAGGUCCUAUUAGCAUUUUGUUGCAGACAUUAGUUUGGCUAAUCAAAUGGUCAUGUACAAAACAUAGUUCACAGUUCUUUUGUUAAUAUACUAAGAAGAUUUGCUAUCUUAAGGUCCAUCUCUUCCUCUGUUUUAUUGUCUGAUUAAGUUGUUGUUGAGUUUAACUAUUAAUUGCUUGUGAUUUCUUCCGUUACUAAUUGGUAUUUGGUUAAGUACGAUAUACAAUACUACAUGUUGUUGAUUUAGUUGUUGACGAACAUGGGUUAGGAUAAGGCUAAUUUAAAUGGGUUAUGAGCGUGAUUAAGAAUAUGAUACCAUGGUUUUCUUGCGUGCUUAUCCAUUGCCAGUGAUUGAUCUUUCUUUCUUUUUGUGUUCAUUUCUAUUGUCAAGUAUUAAGUCAUGGUCAUAUGUGAAAUCUUCAUGGCUGACAUGUUUUGAAUAAUAUAUAGUGAGAUAAUUUUGGUAUUGCUGCAUCAAUAAUAAAAAAUGGAAAAACCAGCAGCUCUUUGAAAUUGGGAUUUUGGGUUAACUUUAUUUUAAAUGGCUAAUAGGUCGUGGAGUUUGCUUCAAUGAUAAUGGGACCUUUGAAGUCUAGUAUUGGGACAUCAAUUAAAAAAUAUAGAAGAUUUGGACUUUGUUAUAGUUUAAGGUGAAU